rnacentral:rRNA from 1 species
CCUACGGGAGGCAGCAGUAGGGAAUCUUCCGCAAUGGACGAAAGUCUGACGGAGCAACGCCGCGUGAGUGAUGAAGGCUUUCGGGUCGUAAAACUCUGUUGUUAGGGAAGAACAAGUACGUGAGUAACUGCUUGUACCUUGACGGUACCUAACCAGAAAGCCACGGCUAACUACGUGCCAGCAGCCGCGGUAAUACGUAGGUGGCAGGCGUUAUCCGGAAUUAUUGGGCGUAAAGCGCGCGCAGGCGGUUUCUUAAGUCUGAUGUGAAAGCCCACGGCUCAACCGUGGAGGGUCAUUGGAAACUGGGGAACUUGAGUGCAGAGGAGAAAAGCGGAAUUCCACGUGUAGCGGUGAAAUGCGUAGAGAUGUGGAGGAACACCAGUGGCGAAGGCGGCUUUUUGGUCUGUAACUGACGCUGAGGCGCGAAAGCGUGGGGAGCAAACAGGAUUAGAUACCCUGGUAGUCCACGCCGUAAACGAUGAGUGCUAAGUGUUAGAGGGUUUCCGCCCUUUAGUGCUGCAGCUAACGCAUUAAGCACUCCGCCUGGGGAGUACGGUCGCAAGACUGAAACUCAAAGGAAUUGACGG